GCUUAAAUAGUUUAUUAAAAAUAUUGACUUGUGGCGUCAGAGAAAUAGAUUAUUUUAUUUUAGGCA
rnacentral:tRNA from 1 species